AGAGUUUGAUCCUGGCUCAGCCUGAACGCUGGCGGCGUGGUUAAGACAUGCAAGUCGAACGGAUGUAGCAAUACAUCAGUGGCGGACGGGUGAGUAAUAUAUCGCUAAUGUGCCGCGGAGCCUGGGAUAGCUUUCCGAAAGGAAAGGUAAUACCAGAUGAUAUAACGAAAAGGCAUCUUUUUGUUCUCAAAGCAGCAAUGCACUCUGUGAGCAGGCGAUAACGUAUCAGCUUGUUGGUGAGGUAACGGCUCACCAAGGCGACGACGCGUAGCUGGUCUGAGAGGACGGCCAGCCACAUUGGGACUGAGACACUGCCCAGACUCCUACGGGGGGCUGCAGUAACGAAUCUUCCGCAAUGCACGAAAGUGUGACGGAGCGACGCCGCGUGGAGGACGAAGUUCUUCGGAAUGUAAACUUCUGUCAGGGGAUACCAAGUUCUGAGGAUCCCCAGAGGAAGGGGCGACUAACUCUGUGCCAGCAGUCGCGGUAAGACAGAGGCCCCGAGCGUUAGGCGGAAUCACUGGGCUUAAAGCGUGUGUAGGCGGAUUCCUAAGUACCUUGUGAAAUCCCCGGGCUCAACCCGGGAACUGCUUGGUAUACUGGGUAUCUUGAGCCAAUUAGGGGCGAUCGGAACAAACGGUGGAGCGGUGAAAUGCGUAGAUAUCGUUUGGAACGCCAAUGGUGAAAACAGAUCGCUGGGAUUGUGCUGACGCUGAGACACGAAAGCCAGGGGAGCAAACGGGAUUAGAUACCCUAGUAGUCC
rnacentral:rRNA from 1 species